AGGACUAACGCUGGCGGCGUGCCUAACACAUGCAAGUCGAACGAGAGUAGCAAUACUCUAGUGGCAGACGGGUGAGUAACACGUGGUCAACCUACCUUUAAGUGGGGGAUAACUAGCCGAAAGGUUAGCUAAUACCGCAUACGAUCUUCGCGUGGCAUCACAUGAAGAUGAAAGGAGCAAUCCGCUGAAAGACGGGACCGCGUCCCAUUAGCCAGUUGGUGGGGUAACGGCCUACCAAAGCAACGAUGGGUAGCUGGCUUGAGAGAGCGACCAGCCACACUGGGACUGAGACACGGCCCAGACUCCUACGGGAGGCAGCAGUGAGGAAUUUUCCGCAAUGGGCGAAAGCCUGACGGAGCGACGCCGCGUGUGGGAUGAAGGCCUUCGGGUCGUAAACCACUGUCGAAGGGGAAGAUAUUGACGGUACCCUUGGAGGAAGCCCGGCUAACUACGCGCCAGCAGCCGC
rnacentral:rRNA from 1 species